AACAGGAUUAGAUACCCUGGUAGUCCACGCCGUAAACGAUGUCGACUUGGAGGUUGUUCCCUUGAGGAGUGGCUUCCGGAGCUAACGCGUUAAGUCGACCGCCUGGGGAGUACGGCCGCAAGGUUAAAACUCAAAUGAAUUGACGGGGGCCCGCACAAGCGGUGGAGCAUGUGGUUUAAUUCGAUGCAACGCGAAGAACCUUACCUACUCUUGACAUCCACGGAAUUCGGCAGAGAUGCCUUUCUUCCCUUCGGGGACUGGAACACAGGUGCUGCAUGGCUGUCGUCAGCUCGUGUCGUGAGAUGUUGGGUUAAGUCCCGCAACGAGCGCAACCCUCGCCUUUAGUUACCAUCAUUUGGUUGGGUACUCUAAAGGAACCGCCGGUGAUAAGCCGGAGGAAGGUGGGGAUGACGUCAAGUCCUCAUGGCCCUUACGCGCUGGGCUACACACGUGCUACAAUGGCAACUACAGUGGGCAGCGACCCUGCGAGGGCGAGCUAAUCCCCAAAAGUUGUCUCAGUUCGGAUUGUUCUCUGCAACUCGAGAGCAUGAAGGCGGAAUUGCUAGUAAUCGCGGAUCAGCAUGCCGCGGUGAAUACGAUCUCAGGCCUUGUACACACCGCCCGUCACA
rnacentral:rRNA from 1 species